rnacentral:lncRNA from 1 species
UUGAAAGAAACAAUCUAUGAAAUUACUCCCCUGCUCACUCUCAUACUCCGCUCAUCCUCCGUCUGUUACAAAGUAAUUCCCAGCCAACUCUUCCUAUUCACAAGCUAUCAACACCAAGCCAAUCCAAUUAUGACGAAAAUUACCAAGAAUGUUAGAAGAAAUUGGAACUAACAAUUGAAUUUGGGGAGAUUAGAAAUCAAUUGCAGCAAGAAGAAUUGCAAAUUGUCCAUCACCAAACUAGGAUUGCAUCGGUUGUUACAUAUUGAAAGGUAUGUUAUGCUUCCUUGAUUAAUUCAUGGAAAUUUAGGUAAUUAAUACUUGUUAUUGUUGUGCUUGGUUGUGAUAUUGUAUGUGAUAAAGAUAAUAGGUGAUUUCUGGAGUGAUAAGGGUGGAUUUUGGUGAAAAUUUAUGGCUUAACAAUGUAUAAACAACUCUGAAAUUCUGGAUUUUCAGCCAGCCCUUGCAUGUAUGAUGUUUGAUUAAAUACCUCAAAGAGGUUCACAUGCUUAAAAAUUGAUAAUUGAGCAAAGCUUGGAACUAAGAGAUAUGUAUAUAUGAGUUAUAUGAUAACUCUAAUAAUUCAAGAGUACUAAAUCAAGUUUAACAUUGAGUUUCUAAGUUUUCUAUUAUAAUGGACUUGAAUGAAAAAUGGGGUGGCAGAGCCUUUUCAAGCCUCUAUAUCUAUGCCUUAUAAAGCUCGUUUUAGCUAUGUUAUAUUUUUAUAAAAAUCUAUGUAGUACCAUCUAGAACAUAUUAAAAUUUGAAGGCAAUCGGAUGUAUGCAUUGCCCAUUACAAAAUUGCAAAGUAGCUAAGAAGUUAAGCUGAUUUCUAUGCGGCAGUAGCAGCGCAGCAGCGCUGGCGCCAGGCGCAGUGUGCUGGCUGCCAGGCCAGGCCAGACACAACGUUUCGUUUUCAAUUCCAAUUGCGACCUUAAAAUUUCACCUUUAAUUCAGUAUUUGUUCUCAUUCCUUGGUAUUCAAUUUUUUUUAAUAUAUAUGUUCGAAUUAUAUCAGAGUUGUAAUGACAGAAAUUCAAUAUGAUAUUUAAAAAAUUGCCAGUAUAAUAUUUACAUAUCAUAUUGAAUUUCUGUAUCAUUAGAAGAGUUAUUAGUGAUAAGUUUGCAACACAAUGGGAUGUGAGUUUUUCUGCACACAUGACUAAAUCAUUUGUGCGAUAUGCAUUUAUAAACGAUAUCAGGAAAUGUUUUUGUGGCCUCAUAUUAUUUGAGGAAUUUCACGUAACUUCUUAGUAUAUAUAACAUGGAAUUUAUUUAUUUAUUUUACUUUGGCUGUCUAAAAUAUGAAAGUUUUACCACAACUGUUUUUGACUCUAUUCUGAAGCAAGCAUGAGAAAUAAAAAAAACUCUACUUGGUAAGAGCAUGCUAUUGCAUAUUCUCACGUAGAAGCUCAAAUUGCAUGCACCCACUAAAGGGCAACCACCAAGGCACUUAAAACUUUUGGUUUAUAUCUAGAGUAAAAUAUGUUGACACCAUCCUUUUAGUUUUUUAAAUAACUGUCAGUACUCCUCUAGUUUACAAUAUGUAACAUUCACUAGCCCUAGUGUGGUUGACCAACUAAUAUCCGAAAAUAUUUUUAAUAUAAUGUCUAAUAUACCCUUAAAAUUAUAAUGUUUAAUAUAUCCACUAAAUAUAAAUUUGUAUAUUAUAAUUUUUACUUAACUUGAUCUAAUUGAUUAAAUUAUGAACUUGUGCAAUAAAUAACAUAAAUGUCAAAAAAUAAUAAAUAUUCAUUUUAUCAGGAAAAUAAAGUCACUUUUUGCUAAUUAAAUUUCUCAAAGAUAAAAAUUUACGUAAUAUACAUUCAAAUAUAUUUUUUUUGUAAUUAAAAGGUAAAAAUUUAAUACCCAUAAAAAGUAUAAAUUAAUGCAAAAUAAUUAUAAUUAUUUUUUCCAAAUAUUAAAAUUUACGUAAAACAAAUUUAUUAUUAUAGAACGAACUUAUUAUUCAUAUGAAAAAGUAUAAAAAUUAUAUUAAUUAUUCUUCUCAAAUAUUAAACUAAACAUAAGUCACACUUAGGCAUAAUUAUUUACAGUAAAAAUGACAAAUGUUGGUACUCUAAAAAAGAAAAAAAUAUAUUAAAUGAAAAAUCUUUUUACAAGAUAGAGCUAGUAAUAAAUAUUAGGGAACUGAUAUUUUCACAUAAAAAAUUGAUAUUCCACAUGAUCUCUCUCACUUGAAUAGUGAGUGGUUCCCACCUCCAUUUGAGAGACUCAUGUGGAAAUAUCAUUUUAAUAUGUGAAAAUAUCUAUUUCUCAAAUAUUAUUAUAUUUUCUUUUAUUUAACAUUGUACAAAAACAAAACCAAUUGUAUACUAAAAAAUGUAAUCAAAAUCAUAAACAUCCCAAAUUUUGACAUAUACUCAAGAAAAUUUAACAUAUAAAAAUCAUAAUAUGAAAGUAAGAAUUCAAAUAAUAAUUUUUUUCGUUAAACACCAAAAACUAAACUAUCAACAUACUCAAUCACUCUUAGAACAACUCAAUUAAUAAUUUAAUUUAAAAUAUUUAAUAUUUGUAUCACUUAUCCAAAAAUAUGUGCUAAUUAAACUAAAUGAGUUUUUAUAUAAGUUACCAACAAAACAAAACUAUAAUUAAAAUAUAUUGUAUUAAAAAGGAUAAUUAAACAUAUAUUAUUUAGGAAUUACAAUUUGAUAACAUACCAAGGUAAAUAUGUAACUUUAUCUAUUUAGUCAACCCUAAAAAUACUAGUUGUUACUUAAAAAGUUAGAGGGGAUGUGAGUGUUAUUAUAGUUAUCUAGAGAGGGUGUCACUGUAUUUUACUCUUAUAUCUAUUAAACAUGGGCAUAUGUGAGUGCAAUGUUUAUAUACAAGUCGAUCACUUUCCAUCUUAGCACAGUGUGGUUUAGUAUUUUAGUUUUUUUGCCACAUUGACAUUCAAAUUGGCAUGUAGCUAAUGUAUAUAUUUUUGACAACAUAUUUGUGUUCAAAGUGAUUGCUGGCUUUUCCUCUUCAUUAUAUUUUGUCAUAUGUUCGCGUGGUUGUUACCCUAGCGCUAUGCAUUAGGGUCAUUGAGUGAUUGAUUCUUCCAUGAUAGUUUCUGUUUUCUUUUAUUACUUGCAAAAUUAUAAUUGAAGCAUUGGGAUGUUGCUUGUGUAUUGGUUGCAUCCACUGUGUUUUAAUGCUCGAGGGCAAUUUUAUUUAAUUAGAUUCAUAUGUCAUUUACACUACAAAAAAAUGGACAUUCGACAACGAUUUUUCGGGCAACGACUUAUAAAAUCGUUGCCAAAAAUGCAUGUUUAGCAAUGAAAUUUGUCAUUCGUUACAGUUUCUGAAAGGCUUCCAUUUUUCGUAACAAAAUUCAUAGGUCGUUGCAAAAUUUCGUUGUCAAUUUGUUGGCGGGAAAAAAACAAUUUCCUACCUAUUUAAUUUUUUGUUGCCGAUGUGAUUUUUCCUCAUCGUGGGCAACGAAAAAAAUUUUGUUACUAUAUUUUGUAGCCUAAUAUGAAUCACAUUCAUUGUCAACAAUUUUUUUUCGUUGCGUAUUUUAUACAAUUUUGUAGGACUAGUAAAUUGUUACCCAAAAUUUAGAUAAACCCAAUAAGUACGUUUUGAACUUUUUUUUCCCAAACGCAUCAUUUUGCAUUUAAAAAUUAUUAUUUAUUUGGACGCAAAUUUAUACAUUCAAAUGUUUCACUCCCCUCAUCUCAAAAUAAAUGCCUAGUUUUACUUUUCUUUUUGUCAGAAUUAUAAUUUUUGAAAUUAAAAUUGAGCAAAUAUAGAUAUAUUUUCUAAUUUAUGAUGAAGUUUAAAUUAUUAUAUUUUAGUUAAAAAUUAUAACUUCACAACGGUUAAAUCAUACCAAACUCACCUUACUUGUCACUAUUUUUUUUGGAAACUGAUAAAUCCACAACAGAAAAUGAUGUUUCCACAUAAAAACCUUUGCUAUAGAUCCUAUAGUACGAGUUUCACCAUCGCUAUACAUCUAUAGUGAAACUUUUCAUGUGUCAAAAAGUGUUGUGGAAAUAUCAAUUUCCUUUUUUUUCUCACUUCUUAUUCUUAUUUUUUAAUCUUUUCUCAUCCAUAUUUUUUUAAGUUUUAUUCAAAUAUUUUAAUUUUGUUAAAACUACACACAUAGUUUGUAUAUCACAUAGGCAAGUAUUUAUUAUCGCUAAAAUUUAAUAUUUUUAUCAUUAUAUAAAAAUAUAUUUAGAGAAAUUAGAUAUAAAAAAAAGUAUAUUCGAGAGGAGAUGAUCAAGAAAUAACAUUAUGUUCGUAACCUUUUUCAUCUUCCCUGUUCAUACUAGCUUUGUGACCAAUUCCCGUCCCGUG